GCCGAACUAGCUCAUUGGUAGAGCGAGGGCCUGAAGAGCCUUGCGUACCCAGUUCGAUUCUGGGGUUCGGCACCA
rnacentral:tRNA from 1 species